rnacentral:lncRNA from 1 species
UAAAAAAACAGAAAUAAUAUCUAAGUACCAUAUUAAUAUAUAUAUAAUAAUAUUUAAAAAUUCUUGCGUACCUUUGUAUGAUAUUAUGCAAAGUUUUUCAUGAAGGCAAAGCAAGCAUUUUUUUGUUACGUUGCUGUAGGCGGGGACUUGACUAGGCUAUCAGUUUGUGAUCCAGUUUUUUUACGAAGUACCAUCAAACCAUCGUCACGAUAGUCCAACGUCUUCUUUAUUUAUAAUUUUAGAUAGUGAGUCUAAUAUAUAUAGGUCCACCAGUUCACAAACUUCUGCACCGUCAAAACAACCCAUUGUGACAUCAAAGCAAACGUGUGCUAAGUUUUUCCUCCAUGUUUCUCCGUUAAAAAAUAGCAUGGACUUUAAUGCAAUGUUUAAUGAUUCUGAUGUUCUCUUCGCUAAUACUUGUGUGUUUUUUUGCAAACAGUAUUGCAUUACUUAGUAUUUUUGAUGUAAUAGUGGGGUAAAAAUCAAGUUGAAUAAAAACACAAUGUUGUUUUUCUGGUUUAUAUAUAUAUACUUUUUUAAAGUUAAUUCAGGUGCCCCAAGAAGUAUUGCAUUACUUAGUAUUUUUGAUGUAAUAGUGGGGUAAAAAUCAAGUUGAAUAAAAACACAAUGUUGUUUUUCUGGUUUAUAUAUAUAUACUUUUUUAAAGUUGAUUCAGGUGCCCCAAGAAGUCUUUAGGGUCUUAUCACAGAGCAACGCGGAAGAGCAUUUAAUAGGAAGUUCACGCCUCCUUCCCAACCGAUGUCGCAAAACUUUUCCAGAGGUGGGGUUUGAACCACGGAUCUUACGUUUCUGAGGCAAGUGCGCUACCACUGCGCCACGGCUGCUUAUUUUCAAACCAUUUGAUUGCAUCAGUGGUAUUUUUCCAUUGGUUUAAAUUUAAUGUGGUUCUUACUUUUUUACUUAUAGUGUCAAGGUAUUUUUUGCUUAUGUUACCAAGUUCACUUUUAGUGGAGUUCAAUAUACGGCAGGGUUUAUUAUUUUGGAAUGAAUCUUUGUAGUCUUUUAGUGUAAUAAAAGCUUCAGAUUUUGCGAUCACUUUUAUUCGUUUGCUUAAGUUAAGUGUGUUUGCUAUAUUUUUGGCUUCGAGGUUAAUUGAGUUUUCGAGUUUCUCUAGGGCUUUUUUAUACGCUUUUGUGAUAUUUUUGUUAAGAAGUUUAGUGUGUUCCUGAGUGGAAAUUUGGUAAAAAUUAUUUGUUUUGUCAGCGAAUAAUAAUACGUUAGGAUUGGUUUUUAUAUUUAAUAUGACUCUUUUUAAUUUUCGCUGUGUAUCUUUUUAAAUUUUAUAAGGUUUAUUUAAUUGAGUAAACCGUUUUCAAAAUUUUCCAAUUCUUUGCACGGAGGUGGCGUGUUAUUCGUUUUGAACCCAAAAGUUUCAUUUGUUUUGACUGGUUUACUUUAAUUUUGUUUAAAUAAAAAAAUGUUUUCCAGCGGAUGAAGUUUUCUGUUUUUUCUAUUAGCUGCAGUUUAUAGCUGGUUUUGUUUGGUAUUGGUAUAUUUUUUAACGAGUAGUUGAAGUUAAUUUUCUCCAUGGUGUGGAAUCUAUGAGAUAAAAUGAUCAAUGAAAGUAUUUAUGAUUGGUAUUUGACAUUAAAAGAUACAUCUUAUCAUCAAUAUACUGUAGAUAAAAUAUUAGGGUUAGAUAUAGAUAUAAUAUAAGAUAUAAUAGAAUUUCAAAA